UGUUUCACUUACCUCGAAGACCGUUCCAUAUUAGCCCAUGGAAAACUUUACUCUCUUUUUCCCAUAUUUCGUGCUCAGAAUGUGCUGAAAUUCUCCUAGUCACCCCCUCACCGAGGGACAUUUACAUUGCUUCCAAUCUUUUGCUGUAGUUAAUGACCAUGUACACCUCUCCGCAUGUAAAUCUGCUAGCUACAUUGCUAGAAGUAGAAUUGUUUGGUCAACCAGCGUGUGCAUUUUAAUUUUUAAUAGAUACCACCAAGGAGAUACAAUUUCAGUUCCUGCAAUUUAAAUGUGCUUGUUUUCAUACAUUUUCUAACCAAUUUUUCUUUGUCUUGUCUACCUGGGUGCUUUGAAUGUUGCAGUUCUAGUUUGCUUCUCCUCCUACAGGUGAGGCUGCAUCCAGCAGUGGACUCUGAGCCGAGGGGUCGCUUCAGCCACCUUUUGUGGUUGGUGCCCCUUCCUCCACACAGCCUCUUUCAAUGCCCCAUACUCUUCUUGCUCGCGAAGGCUUUAGUACAAGUGGGCGAUUCCCUAACGCUGUUGCCUUUGAAACACAAGUGGAGGAGCGAUACUCACUCAAAAAGGAGGACUCGUCCCCAGCAACAGUCCACGCUCUGGGCUAUUGGUCCAUUCAGUUCAGCAGCUACAAUCGGGCGCUGUUCCAUCCUCCUGGCUGACGUGAGGGGGUUUGGGGCUGGGGGGAUGCCGCAGAUCCAAUCCAGGGCCUCGCACAUGCUAAGCACAUACUCCAGGGCUGAGCUGCUCCCCCAGCGGGCAAGGCUCCUUAGAGAGUUGUACAGGGACCUACGUCUCUAGUGAUGAUUCCUUUCAUCGUCAUUGUAAUUAUUAUUUUCUUAGCACAUUUUCGAGGCAUGUUGUAUCCCCAGAUCAUUAAAAGGCGACCUUCUUGAGUCCCUCCGUUCCUCAGGUGUCUUCGUCACCGUCAGCGGAGAGCAACGUCAUUUCCUUUCACAUCCUGCCUGCCUUUUCUGCUAAGGUGCAUACCACAGCCUUAGGUCUUACUUUUAGUUCAACAAUGAAUUUGAUCUUUUGUGGAGGCUGAUUUAUUCCAGUGCCAGGGGCUACUUCUCUUUAGCUUCUCACACUGCUGAGAGGAGAAAGCAGAGAGCAGAAAAGAAAACCUUUCUGCCUUGCCCCGUGGUUUUCUUCCCCUCCGGCCAGCUGUGCGGGCACCGGCUCUGCGUCACAGGGCACCGGAACCUGCCCCUCCCCCUUCCUUUUGCGGCUGAAAUAGGAGGCUGGGAAGCCUGGCUCCUCUAACCCUUUGCCAUCGUCUCUGUGGCCAGCGUACCAUGCACAGGACAGGCAGUUCUUGAGUAAUUUGCAGAAGGGAAGGGACAUCCAGAAGGAUUUGCUGUCACUAGAGACUCUUCACGCCAUCCCUGUGGCUUUUAAGCCAGACCAGGCAUCACGGAGGAGUCUGCUGUUACAGAUGAACCUAUGCUUACAUCCAUCUUCCAGCUCUCUUCCACAGCCUGCAGCCAUGUCCCAUGCAAAAGCGGAGAUAAGAGCUGAGUUGGAUGCAGGCAGAGGCCCCCCGGGACACUGAAGUUUCCCCCAGGGGCCCUCACCCUCCCAUUAACUCCCUGCAGUGCGGCUCUGAGGGCACGGAGAUUCUCCCUCAGAUCCGGGGCAGCCUCCUUGUCUGAGCCUCAGCUUCCUCGUCUGUGUGGUGCUGGACGGCAAGGGGCACAAUGAGGCCAGUCUGCAGCAGCCGGCGGCGAAGCAGCCACCUCCGGGCUCCCAAAGGCAUCUUUCCGUCAGCUGAGCACUUAUGGGCCAUGUGAUGUUGCCUGGUGCAGUGUCACAAGUAGCGCACACUGAGGCUGAACCAACAGAAACCUAUUUUCCCCUGGUCCUGGAGCCUGCGGUCCAAGGUGAAGGCACUUUGCGGUCUUUACGUGGUGGUCCUUUGGUGAAUUCGGAGCCCGGGGGUCAUUUCCUCCUCUUACAAAGACAUCAGUCGGAUGGACCCUCCCAUCAGACGGCACUGAGCUCUGUCUCCAAAUACAAUUGCACUCUGAGGCACUGGGGGGUGUGUGUGCAGGGCUUCAUCCUAUCAGUUUGGAAUGGGGUACAGUCCAACCCGUAACGUGUGCCUAGUAUGCACCAUGCCUCUUAGGUGCUCCUUGAAUGAAUACUGAAAGCAGGUACCCUACUGCCUACUCCAGGAAUGGGAAUCUGUACAACGGUGACAGUAGAGAGACGGGUGCUGUAGCAAUGCCAUGGGGGUUGUGGAAGUGUCCAGAAGUAUGAUUUAACGUCCCUGCCUUCUCUGGCUUCAUACAGUUUGUGGAUGGGCCUGAUGGGGGAGACAGGUCCUAAUCAACCAUGGCUGUGCAGAGUAUUUGAGGGUGGUGAGCCCUAGGACAGGAGGGUGGGGAGGGGAGAGGCUCUUCUGAAUGGAGAGGAUAAGAAAGCUCACAGGUUAGGUGGCCUUCAAGCAAAACCCUGGAGGGCUCAAGAGAGUGAACUGAGCUGAUAUCCGAGAGAAAUUCUUUCCAAGCAGUGGGAACAAGUACAAAGGCCCUGGGGCUGGAACUGCCUGGGAAUGUUCUAGGACCAGCCGAGGCCAUGGUGGCUGGAGGGGAAGAGCGUGAGGGGAUGGGGUCAGAAAGGGACCUGGGGACAGGUGGCCAGGGGAUGUGGCUAGAGUUCGUGGGACCUCAUGGGUCUUUGGUCCACGUGAGACGGAAACCUAGAAGGAGGGGGAUGACAGGCAGUGCCAUGACCUGACUGGCGGCUUGAGGGGAAGUGGGUUGUGAGCAGAGUCGGAGGUCACCGGGCUGAAGCAGGGCAGUGCCGUGGAGCAUAUGAAUGACGUGGGGAUUGGCUUUCCCCCUGGGACCCUUCGCUCCUGGGUGGCACUGUAUCUGCUGCUGAGUGGUAUUUCUGGUCAGCAAGCAAGAGGGACAUGGCCUCUAAUCAGCCUGCGUUUCUGGACAAGUGGAUGCUGGUACAGCUGGCUGCAGGGGGGAAGCAGGACAGAGGCUAAGUGGAGCAUCCUUCUAUACUGCCACUAUGGGGUGCAGGGUCCAAAGACCCCAGUGGCCCUGAUAGCCACCGUGAGGCUGUGGGUGGACGAUGGCUCAGUGGUGAGGGUUUCUCCCAGGACCAGGAACUUCCCAGAGGGCUCAGCUCCCCGUUUAAGUGGAUUUCCCCCCGAGUCUGCUGAUACCACCAAGCCAGUGCGACCGGUGCGGCCCUAGCCCCUGGUGAUGAAAGCAAACCAGGUCACGUGACCCUGAGGUGAUGGCCUCUUACAUGACCGUGACUUGUACGUGUAGGGUGCCGCACCUCCAGGUGACAUCUCUGUGCCACAAUUCCACCUGCACAACCGUGGCCAGAGCACCGCACCCAGUGUCUGAGCCUGACCCUCGCUCCCGCAGGCACACACGGGGCUGGCCUCCUCCAGGCAGUGCGACUGUGCUCCCAUAGGGCACGGCGUGAAGGCACAGGGAGGGAUGCAGCCGUCCCCCGGUCACUCCCGCCUUCCCCACCACCUCAGCUUACACACACACACUCACUCCCUCUCCUUGGGGGACAAAUUCCUCGCUAUCCUCUGGGCCAACGCUGGCAGCUCCACACUACUGCAGCAUCCCUUUAACUUCUGGCUUCCGGCCCUGGUGGGAGUGGAAGGGUUCAAGGGCACUGAUAUUCAGUAUUUGGAGAAUGAAGAUCCCAGGAGAAUUUAACUUUGAUGGGAGGAGGAGGAAUCUGUGGUUGUGUGUAGGGAGGUUCGGGGGCUAAAGGGGCCGUCCUGGGGAAAGCUUAUGAGAGAAUGCUAAUAGACGUUUAGGGCAUCUCGGAUGAAAAGCCCAAUGAAAAUAUUUCUUUUGAAUCCACCCUUCAUCUCUGUGCUUGAGCCCUCAGUGAAGAGUUAUCCUGCUUGAGAGGAUUAAGUGCUGUGUUUUAAAAAAGGAAAAGACUUUUUUAGGCAUGAUUUUUUUCAUAGAUUUAAAUGUCAGCUCAGGAUUUUUUUAAGAGCAUGGAUUUGUUGUUAAGUGUACAUAUAAUAUUCCUUGAGAUACACUUGGGCAAAUUAAUUUCUGCUUCGCUGCUUGCAUUCUUCCUGCUGUCCACCAGAGGGCACUCAACCACCCACCAGGAGAAGCCAGGGUGCAUUCACUCAGGUUAAACUCACCCAACACCUUCGCAGGCUUGGAGCUCAGGCCAGUAGGAGAAGCUUUGCCGGUUACAGGUCAAUCGCAAGGGAGGGCCCUAUAAAUAGUGUCAGAAGAAGCCGCUGCCUAUUACUGGGGAAAAUCCAAAUUACAUUUGUGUGGAGUCGGUACAUGUACAUAGCAAUUCUUUUCUUGAUGAUGGCCGUUCCGGGGUAAGGUGGGGACUCAGUGUUGCUUUAGUUCCUUCAAAGCUAGGUACAGUAGCACCUCUGGAGUCCCAGCCCUCUAGGAGGCUGAGGAGGGGCGAUAGCAAGUUUGAGCCCAGCCUGGGCAACUUAAGUGAUUUAGUAAGACCCUGUCUCGAAAUAAAAUAUAUAAGAUGGAGAUACGGUUCAGUACUAAAGCCCUGUGUUCAAUGCCUAGUAUAAAUACACACACAAAAUUCUACCAACCAGUUCUUAUUUCCUGUUUUUGGACACAUGAAGGAAUAGUUUGUAUUUUGCACGUCAGAGAGGAAAAAGGUGUGGACAUUCUUAAAGAGUUCACAGCAUGCCAAUUACCAGGGACGGAGCUUGACCACGGGCAGGAUGUAGCAGAGGUCUGGCUGCGGAAUGCAUAAAUGUCUGUCUGAGUCCCGGCUGUUCCCGUCACGGUUAGCACAGCAACUUCACCCCGCGACCUACCGUCUGCUGAACCAGGGUCAGCGCUUUUAAACUGGCUUCUACUUCACUAGCGAGCAUUGUGUACCCAGCCGUGCCCAUAAGAGCAAGUCUGACUUAUGGACGCAGCGAGAUUGGUGACAACUAGGUAACGACAGUCGGCCUUACAAGUGAGGAGCAGGAAGGACCUCCAAAGCGUCGCAAUUUACUUAUCUGUAUAAUGCCGGGUAAACAAACUUUUGUUAGCACAGAGCAUGAUUCUGUUUUUAAUUGUUGUUGGUGGCUGGUGAUUGUUGUUGCUGUUGUUGUCUUUUUGA